GCUUCUGGCUCAGCUGCGCGAAGCCUCUUCAGGGCAGUGGGAGCCUUCAUCCCGCUGCCCUGAAGAGGCUUCGCGCAGCUAUCCCAGAAGC